UCGCAGUCAUAGCCACAAAAGUUUCUCUCCUCUGUAUGGAUCUCUUAGUUCAGACGCACUCCGCUUACAAAGAGAAUUAUGAACUAGGCCCUGACACUCAGAUACAAAUCAGUGUUUUUUUGGAUCAAUCCAAAUCAAAGACACUGUAUGCUCUCCGCAUCUGAAAUGAAGCAGAUUAUGUGGAGUCUGAUGAAAAUGUUUUACUGCAUUCUGACAGCAGAAUAUGCACUCAGAUUGCAUCCCUUCAGCCAAGAAUGCUGCAGAUCCAUCUGUUGUGUGUGAGAAUGCUGGAAGUGAGUUUUAGGACUGCAUGUCCCAGUUUUACUGAGCUUCACAAAACACUGAGGCAGCACUCUGCUUAUUACAGUCACUCAACCAAGACAGAGUAGUAAGAUACAUGUGCUCUGGCUGCAGGAUUAUGGUUUAAACUACACUUAAAUUGUCAUCAGAAUUAGAAGUCACCACUGUUUCUCUCAGUUUUUACUCCAGUUUGGAAUAUUAUAUAUAAUUUGUUUUUGACUGUUUUCUGAAAUUAUGAAUAUUUCACAUUUCACACGUCGUUUGAGAGUCUUAAACCUAAGCGUACAAAUAAAUGUGAUUAACUCUGCAGCCACAAACAAAUGCAAGUACAUAUGCAUGUGUAAAAUACUGUGCACAAGCAUGUCAUUUUCAUGCACACAUGAAAAGUGGCUGCACGGAGGCAUCAGGUGGGCCGCGGACAAAAACAAUAUUCCAUGAAGGAGCUCUCUCGAAAGAUUUGUCAUGGCUAUGUCCCUGUGACAGCCCGUUGACGACAGGUGAUUCGAAUCGCAGGAACACAGGUGAGCCACCUAUGACAAAGGCAUGAUCUGCGUGAACGAGGGAGGGAGGGAAAGGAGGAGGGAGGGUCAAGAGUUAGAGCGAAAGACCAGAAGCGUAAGUCGUGAAACUGGGGGAAAGGCAGGGAAAAGUGGAGCUUGUGAUUUGCACUUGUUUGCCUGCUAACUGUCUGCAGUGAGCUGCCUUUGUGCAGUGGCCAAUGCAGUUGGAAUGAAGGCUAUUGUCUAAAUCCUCCUGCAGAGCACCUGAUAAAAGAAUAAAGAACUAUGACAUAUUCUAAAAACAAUGGAGGAAUUAAGGGGAGACAAUAGGCCAGCUGCCUCAUUAAAACAAUCAAAAACGGCAUCCUGUACGUAGUCCAGAUAAUUAAAAACCACUGCUUCCUACAGUCUCUCAAUACCAUAUCCACCAGCUCAUUGAGGCCCUGAGACUAUGGCUCUGCUGGCUAAAUGCCCUCUUCUCUCUCUUCCUUUUGAUUAAUGGUUUAUUUGAACAUGCAGUUGAAGAUGAACAUAUGAAGGAAUUCAUGAAACAAAAUUACAAUGCAAACCCUUUUCCCCCCCAUAAGUACUUAUAAACUAAUCAAACGUCUCAGGAUGAAUCGCAGGGACUCGGGGCGUGUGUCCCCUCCCCUUUGCCUAAAGCCCCGAGAGAUUUCAAAGGGCAGGCAUCACAGGGCAUUUUUUAAUUUUCUCACUUUAAAUGACUUUAUAAGAAAAUGGGUGUGUACAGUAUCUGUGUAUGUAUGGGGGAGGCUGGGAGAAUAGAGUAUGAGAUACUUGAGCAGGAAUAAUUUUUUUUUUUUUGCUCCCUGCAAACCGCUACCACCACCACCAUAUCUUAAUGAAGCCGCAAACAAAUCUCUCAUGCCUCGUGCAAAAAAGCUGAGAGACAACAAAGCAGCAGAAAUAACAGAAGGGCUCGGAUAAUUAAACUGGCCUGAAGACAGGUAUUCAAAUGUUGGUGUGUAAACAGCACAACUCUUUAAUAGUUUCGCUGUAAAAUGCGUAGUUAAGCACAUCAGCACUUGCCUCUCCCAUCUGUCCAAACACAUUACCGUUGCAGAGGCCAUUACAGCACUGGAGUACAGUCCCACUGCACCAUAGCCACAUAUUAGGGGGAGGGGGUUGAAUGGGGCUUGUGGGAAAACUAACAUUGGCCUAUUGGCAAUAUCUGAACACAUCGUGGGGUCAUGUAUUAUAAAGCAUCACUAUGCACUUCGAAAGAUGGGAGAGUUUGAGAACAAGACAUGUCACAUGCUUGAUGACCCCCAGAUUCAAAUGUGUGACACCAGAUUUAGUGCGUAACUCCAUUUUUUUCCUUUGUCGACCCUGAUGUUGAUGUGGAAACUUCUUUUUUUUUUUUUUUCUCCUCCGCCCCUUAAAGUUGUCGUCUCUGUUGACUGGCUCUGCGCUCACUGCUGGUCUUAAUUGUGAAGUGAGGCCAGUGGUGCCUGAAGCCACAGAGAGGGUUGUAAUUAAAGACCUCUACUCUUCUUGUCUUCAAAUCAGCUCCAACUCCUCCUGGUCAAAUGGGAACAAGCACCUACGAAUAUCAAGUAGCUGCAUGUUGUUAACUACCAAUUUUUUUUUUUUUUUUUUUUUAAAACCAAAGCUUUAUCAUAUAGGAGGAGUAAAUUACAACAUGACACACAAAACAACUUCCCAGUCAACUUCCCUGGAUCUUGUGAAAAUAUUCAUCACAAACGGUGGAUGAAUAAUAUCUGUAUCUGCACCUGACAGCAGACGGUGCUGCGACACACACUAAACAAAUCCUCCUCAUGAAUACUGGUAAAUAUUUAGACUGUUUCUGGAUCAUCAGAGUUGAGCACAUUAGUAUGACUCAUGGCUGUCAAACCCGCCGUCACAAUCCCAAGCCGGAGCAAGCAGGCAGCAGAAAGGAAAACGCUGAGUUAGACACGAGCGGGAACAUCAUUCACAGGGUCAAACAAGCUUACUAUUAUUGACGGUACACUAAACUAGAAUUAGCUGACUCUACUAUUAUUUCACUAAGGCAGUGACACAGAUUGACUCUCUCCCUCUCUAUCUCUCUUUCACUCUCUUCCUCCUCCUUCUCAUUGUUUUGUCCCGGGCCACUAGGAGGCACUCUUCUCAUGCUCAAGCUGCAGCCGGUGGAUGUUUUUUGCUGUGAUGAUGCAGAGACGUCUCAGACAUGGCAGAGCAGCACAGGCGCCAGUCUGCCUAUACAUCCUUGCAGGUGACACACAUGAGCUCUGAGCUGUCAGUCUGAGACAAUACCAGCCUCAAAUUCCUGCAGUACAAAGCUGCUCUCCUCAUUAGCUGCCACACACAGUCAGCUCCUCCCUGUCCACAGUAAAGUGGAGUAGACUAUUAAAGGAAAGCUCUGACUGGCUCCUCUCCUCUCCUCUCCGCUCUGCUUUAUUCUUUAUUUGGACAGGUUUGUCCCAUUGAGCACUCUAUUAGCUCGCCUUCUCUGCGGGUAGUGCUGCCUGUGUCCUGGUUGUGGCCAGUCGACAUGUGUUUACUGUGGCCCCCGCUGUGGCGGCAGGCUGGUUGGGGGCCCGUCCUGACCAAGCCCUGCUAAUGGGACCAGAAGACCCCUCGUGACAGGACGCCGCUGUGUUGAGCACCGCAGCAGACCCUACCCCUCCCUCCCCUCCAGCUGCGGCCCCAUGGCCCAUGUCCCCCUACCCAUCAUGCCUCGGCGGGAGCAGGUGAACGGCGGAGGGCCAACGGCGGCAAGCUCGGUUUUCCUGGGAGAGCAGUGCGCCAUUGCCACGCGCCUCAGUGGUUCCUCCAACAUGGCUCCAGCCCUACGCCACAUGGGCUGGCUGGCCAGUCUGAGUGUGUGUUGAAGUGUGUGGGUGUAUGUGUGUGUGUGUGUGUGUGUGUGUGUGUGUGUGUAUGUGGGGGUGUAUGGUGGAUGCCAGCCCUAAUGCAAAUGCUUGCCGUUUAAAAAAUGGGAGCCUCUCUCCUCCUCUGUCUCUCCUCUUUGGAAAAGGUCUAUUUUGGCCUUCUGGUGCUGGCAGUUAUUUUUCUCCUCUCCAGAAGGACAGAGCGCCAGAGAGAUGCACCUGUCAUCCACUUUAGAAUUCAGCAUUAUUGAUCUGGUCAGGAGGGAUGGAAUUUAUGAAGUUAUGUGUUUUUCUUCAUGAACACUUCAUUGAUUUGUGCCUUAUAACACACAUUUUUCUCAUUUGCAAAGUGUCUCUGUGCCUUAUUUACGGCUAUGCUAAUUUGGUAUUCACAGCACAGCAACGCACAGAAAGAAUACAUACACACACACUCUCUGACACACAUUAACACACCAGUCACCGAUGCAACAUCCCAGCAUGCCCUCUGUCUCUGCUCCCCUGUAAUUCUACAUAUUGCUUAAAGUAUGUGCUAAUUAAAUUUUCUGUCGGUUUGCAAGAGAAAUAAAUAAUCUGCAGCUAAAA